CCUACGGGGGGCUGCAGUGGGGAAUAUUGGACAAUGGGGGGAACCCUGAUCCAGCCAUGCCGCGUGUGUGAAGAAGGCCCUCGGGUUGUAAAGCACUUUCAGUGAGGAAGAACGCCUGGUGGUUAAUACCCAUCAGGAAAGACAUCACUCACAGAAGAAGCACCGGCUAACUCCGUGCCAGCAGCCGCGGUAAUACGGAGGGUGCGAGCGUUAAUCGGAAUCACUGGGCGUAAAGCGCGCGUAGGUGGCUUGAUAAGCCGGUUGUGAAAGCCCCGGGCUCAACCUGGGAACGGCAUCCGGAACUGUCAAGCUAGAGUGCAGGAGAGGAAGGUAGAAUUCCCGGUGUAGCGGUGAAAUGCGUAGAGAUCGGGAGGAAUACCAGUGGCGAAGGCGGCCUUCUGGACUGACACUGACACUGAGGUGCGAAAGCGUGGGUAGCAAACAGGAUUAGAUACCCGAGUAGUC
rnacentral:rRNA from 1 species